CAGCCGCCGCGGUAAUACGUAGGGUGCAAGCGUUAAUCGGAAUUACUGGGCGUAAAGCGUGCGCAGGCGGUUCGUUAAGACAGAUGUGAAAUCCCCGGGCUUAACCUGGGAACUGCAUUUGUGACUGGCGGGCUAGAGUAUGGCAGAGGGGGGUAGAAUUCCGCGUGUAGCAGUGAAAUGCGUAGAUAUGCGGAGGAACACCGAUGGCGAAGGCAAUCCCCUGGGCCUGCACUGACGCUCAUGCACGAAAGCGUGGGGAGCAAACAGGAUUAGAUACCCGCGUAGUCCCUGUCUCUUAUAC
rnacentral:rRNA from 1 species